GCAGUGUACCCGCGGCAAGACGGAAAGACCCCGUGAACCUUUACUAUAGCUUGACACUGAACAUUGAGCCUUGAUGUGUAGGAUAGGUGGGAGGCUUUGAAGCGUGGACGCCAGUCUGCGUGGAGCCGACCUUGAAAUACCACCCUUUAAUGUUUGAUGUUCUAACGUGGAUCCGUAAUCCGGGUUGCGGACAGUGUCUGGUGGGUAGUUUGACUGGGGCGGUCUCCUCCUAAAGAGUAACGGAGGAGCACGAAGGUUGGCUAAUCCUGGUCGGACAUCAGGAGGUUAGUGCAAUGGCAUAAGCCAGCUUGACUGCGAGCGUGACGGCGCGAGCAGGUGCGAAAGCAGGUCAUAGUGAUCCGGUGGUUCUGAAUGGAAGGGCCAUCGCUCAACGGAUAAAAGGUACUCCGGGGAUAACAGGCUGAUACCGCCCAAGAGUUCAUAUCGACGGCGGUGUUUGGCACCUCGAUGUCGGCUCAUCACAUCCUGGGGCUGAAGUAGGUCCCAAGGGUAUGGCUGUUCGCCAUUUAAAGUGGUACGCGAGCUGGGUUUAGAACGUCGUGAGACAGUUCGGUCCCUAUCUGCCGUGGGCGCUGGAGAACUGAGGGGGGCUGCUCCUAGUACGAGAGGACCGGAGUGGACGCAUCACUGGUGUUCGGGUUGUCAUGCCAAUGGCACUGCCCGGUAGCUAAAUGCGGAAGAGAUAAGUGCUGAAAGCAUCUAAGCACGAAACUUGCCCCGAGAUGAGUUCUCCCUGAGACUUUAAGUCUCCUGAAGGAACGUUGAAGACGACGACGUUGAUAGGCCGGGUGUGUAAGCGCAGCGAUGCGUUGAGCUAACCGGUACUAAUGAACCGUGAGGCUUAACCUU
rnacentral:rRNA from 1 species